rnacentral:rRNA from 1 species
GAGUCUCGCACAGAUGCAUAUCAAUAAGCGGAGGAAAAGAAACUAACAAGGAUUCCCUCAGUAACGGCGAGUGAAGCGGGAAGAGCUCAAAUUUGAAAUCUUGAAAGGUCACCUUUCACGAAUUGUAGUUUAAAGAAGUGUUUUCUGUUACGAUCGUAAUAUAAGUUCUUUGGAAUAGGACAUCACAGAGGGUGAGAAUCCCGUCUAUGAUUGCGAUUUGUAGCUUUGUGAUACACUUUCAAAGAGUCGGGUUGUUUGGGAAUGCAGCCCAAAACGGGAGGUAAAUUUCUUCUAAGGCUAAAUAUUGGCGAGAGACCGAUAGCGAACAAGUACCGUGAGGGAAAGAUGAAAAGAACUUUGAAAAGAGAGUUAAAUAGUACGUGAAAUUGUCAAAAGGGAAGCGUUUAACACCAGUGUUGUUUUCUGAAAAUCAACCUCUGUUAGCUUUAUGCAUGUUUGUUUAGACCUAAUCAGCUAUCUUGCAUGUUCUAUUGUUUGCAGUGGUGCACUUUUCAGUUUACAGGUCAACAUCAGUUUUUUUUACCGUAAAAAAGUUAAAGAAAGGUAGCUCAUGGCUCCGGUCGUGAGUGUUAUAGUCUUUUUCCUAUGCGGUAGGAGAGACUGAGGUCUGCAGGUGUAGGCUAUUUGGCUAGAUACUCAGGUGCUAUGUGAUACCAUUUCAUAAACAACUUGUUGAUUAUGUUUUGUCUAUUGCAUACUCGCUUGUACUAUCAUACCUACGCUUAGGAUGUUGAGUCGUAGAGCACGCAG